rnacentral:ncRNA from 1 species
CCAAGUUGCUUAUCUCUGAGUAGAGUAAGUUGGAGAAGUUAGCUUGGACUACAUGCCCUUUCACUAUGGCAACCUAGUUGCUAUUAAAUACAACCAUGACAGAAAUGAAUUGGCGGUGAAUUAAUUAAAGUGAAAGAGCUACUCUUG